GGAGGGGAGAACAGAGCAAAGGAAAGAUUGGAUGAAGAGGGGGAACACAUGAGGUUGAAUCAAAGUCAUUGAGGAAUGGGUGAAGGAGUGGGAGUGGGCAGAGAGAGGUGACAGGUUAGGGACGCAGCAGCCUGAGGCUAGUCAGCUGGAGCAGCGCCCGGGGGUGGAUGUGCUGGAGGAGGUUGUGAUCCAAGUACAGACGCAGCAGUGAGGUCAGGCCAGAGAAGGAAGGCUACUUAGCUGGCAGGGUCCCAGCUGCUGACAGAUCUACCACGUGACGAUGUCAGCACAUGGAAAUAUGGAUCCUAUUAUCACACAAUGGCAAAUAUAUCAGCAUCUGCCGGCGAGACGAAGGGAACAAUUGCUCGUUGAGUAAUAUCACUUCCCCACGGACUGCUAACUCUGCCCUUAGGUUGCUGCUAAAAUGCCCAGUGUGUUUCCUGUCACCGAGCAGCGAAAAGAAUGAUGGCACAUAAAUUAUGCAUUAGCUGUACAGAAAUUAGAAAAAUGUGAACAGAAUCAUGUAAACUGUUGUAUUAAUUUGCAUACUGGUUUCACAGAUGAAAUGUUGAAUUAAUCCUUUUAUUAUUCCAUUUUAAUCAACAGUAUGACUGCAAGAUUUAGGCAUAUUUAUCAAUGUAGGGUCCUCUCUUAAUUGCAAUAAACUGUUUUCCAAAUGUUAUAUAUCUUAAUAAUCCCUGCAUUAAA